GAUGAACGCUAGCGACAGGCUUAACACAUGCAAGUCGAGGGGCAGCAUGAACUUAGCUUGCUAAGUUUGAUGGCGACCGGCGCACGGGUGAGUAACGCGUAUGCAACUUACCUAUCAGAGGAGAAUAGCUCAUCGAAAGAUGAAUUAAUGCUCCAUAAAACAGGGGUCCCGCAUGGGAAUAUUUGUUAAAGAUUCAUCGCUGAUAGAUAGGCAUGCGUUCCAUUAGGCAGUUGGCGGGGUAACGGCCCACCAAACCGACGAUGGAUAGGGGUUCUGAGAGGAAGGUCCCCCACUUUGGGACGGGGAACCGGACCAAACCCCCACGGGGGGCCGGAGUGGGGAAAUAUGGUCCAAUGCCGGGGGGGUUAACCCGCCAAGUCGGGUUAAGGAAGAAUGAUCCUUUGUUUUUAAACUUCUUUGAUACGGGAAUAAAGUGGGGAACGGCUUCCCUUUUUUUUGUUCCGUAAGAAAAAGCCUCGGCUAACCCCG
rnacentral:rRNA from 1 species